ACAAAAGGUAAGCUGUCUUUUUGACGUUACACAAUUAUUUUCUUUUGAAAAAAAACGUUCGUCUCUAUAUCAAAAUCUUUAAACGCAGAUCUGAUGAAACUUGCUCCAUCAACACAGAUCGUUAAAGUUUUAUUUAUCUACUUUGCAUGUCGAAUCCGAUGAAUGAUCUGCUUCAUCCGAGGUUGACUCUGUCUGAAAAGUCAUAUCUCAAUACAAAACAAAGAUCUGGAGCUAAAGGGUCCAGAAACAUCAAUCUCUUCAGAAUAUGUUUCAUGUCACCCGAUGUGUUAAGACGUUGAAACCUUGUGGAUCAAAGACCAGGAGUAACAUUGCUUACACAUCACCUGAAACUUCUUGUUGUAAAGAUAAGUCUUCAAGUUUUCUCGCAUCUUUUAAAGUUUUAUGCUUUAAUAUAUUUCCGUUCAUAUUUAUAUUUUGGUAUCUGAUCUCUUUUUGAUUUUACUGACAAUGGUUUGAAAAUUUGUAUCUACACAUACUUGAGGACACAAUGUUUCGUACCUUAUAUGAUCUAUUAUUUAAUCAGCCAUGUUGAUUAAAUAUAUUAGUGUAUGUAUUCAAGUGUUUGAUUAUUGGAUGUUGGAAUCUUUACUAAAUUGCAAUAUAUUUAUGUUUAAGAUCAAUAACAAUUAGUUUUCAUUUGUUUUGGCUACAUGUGUGAUUAAAAAAUGAUAUGUGAACUAAACAAUAACCCUUUCCGAGCCAAAAAAAAAAUGAUAUGUGAACUUCAUGAUUGGUUUGUUGUGAUUGCUAACACUCAAUGUCUCUUUGUUUGUUUAUUUUAAUAUUCCUGUGAUUGUAUUGAAUAUUGAUAUCUACAUUUAAGACUUCUGUCAUGAACUGUUAUUGUUUAGUUUAUUAGAUUAAGAUAAUUAGAAACUAUAAAAGGAUCUUCAGUCUUAAAUUUUCUAAGUGAUAUAUUGUUUGUUAUUCAGUACAUGGCUCUCAUCUCUUUUCGAUAUAGUUUGAUUAUUGUUUAAUGAACUUUUCUUCUCUGAUUUGUUUCAGGAGUAUAUUUUGAUUCCUUGUUUCAAGUUUCUAAAUAAAAUGAUUAUUUUAUUAGAACACACAUCCAAUGGAACGUUUUAAUAGACCAAACAUGAUUAACCAACAUCUAAAACAUUGUGUUGGGAGAACACUUAUUAGAAAAAGAUAAAAUGAUAAAAAAUCUUCAUAACAUAAUAACCCCAGACACUGAUUCUCCUGCUUUAGUAUUCUUUUUUAUGCUCAGCUCGUCAUUGAUCAUCUUAUCAACCUUGAUUCUUUUCACAGGGCGAACCUUUGAAGUUGAUGUGGUGUCCGGAUGGUCUACAAUGUCACCACAUGAUCGCUUAGAAGGAGUUGUCAUCUUGCCAGAGCUUUCAUCACUGUAAGUUAAAAGAGACCCCUAGAUAAUAGAUAAAUACAAAAAAUAUUUUAAUCACAUAUUUGAAAAUCUUAAAAUAUGAAGAAGUAAAAAAUAAGAGUACGUCAUGGUCAAAACUAUUAAAAUACCUCAGAUCCUGAGAUUGCUAUGGUUCCCUUUCCAAACAUUGUUUCAUAUUGGAAAUAAACCAUGAGCGUGUUGUAAACUGACCAGACUUUUAGAACCUUAAACUUGGUAUCACCACCUUUUAGGCUGUAAUACCAAAUUUAAAAGUCUUCCUAACAAUCUCCUUAAUACACUCAGGCAACAACUCAAGAUCUUCAACCUAUAUGAAAUUUUCAAUAGAAUGGAAAAAUGUACAUGGUUAAAACAAUUAAGAAUCAUAUUUAAGAGUAAAUAUGUGACCGCUUAGAUAAAUACCUCAUCGAAAGAGCCAUUAAGAUUUUUUCUGCUUUUACUCCUAUAACUAGUGUUGCAACCCAAUCAAGUAGAAUAAAUUUUGUUUCAGCUGUAUCAUCCUUAGCCAUCAAAUGAAGCUUAAACCUAAUAUUAAGGUCACAUAAAGCAUAAAAUAAGCAUAAGCAUACACACAUAUAUUGAAACAUCUCCAAAACAUAUAAGUAUGGAAAUAUUACCUUGGUGAAACAUUUAUCACAUUCUUUCUGCACUUCUCACAACCAAGUUGUUUUCCAUGGCCUAAUCUCAUCAAGGUACGCCAGUUUUUUCUUAGAAGACAUUAUAUGAGAAUUGUUGUAAUCUGCGUGUUUGAUCUGAGGAUAAUAUGCUGUUUAUAUAGGAAAUAAAGGGCUGUGUGUUUAAGAUAUUCUAAAUCAAUAUUGUUAGAUUAUAUAAGGCGUGUAUAAUGCCCCGACCGGCCAUGGCUAAUGGGCCACCCACGCCCGCUCUCUCGGCCCGUGAGCCCCAUCUCAUCCGACGGUCGGUCCGUUAAUUUCUGAAGGCUCGAAAUCAUUGUUUACUGACUCUGCAAUCACCACCCGACCUUUUCCCAUGCUUUGGCCUCACUCGCACGCUAUUGCGAAUCACUUCCCGAUAGGUCACCCAUCCUUCUACUAUUCCAGUUCAAGCACGUUUAACUCUGGAGUUCUUUCAGGAUGUGCUCCGGAAAAGGUAAGUCAACUUUGGUGACAUAGGUAGCCAAAUCAAUUUUCUUAAGCCUUUUCACAUAUCACAACUCGGGAUGUUACAAUUCACCCCCUCUCAAAGAACGCAACGUCCUCGUUGCGCUCCACGACAGGUCUCAAGACGCCUCUCAGGUCAGAACUGAGAUGGCUAACCAGCUCUGAUACCACUUAUAAUGCCCAGACCGCCCACGGCUAAUGGGCCACCUACGCCCGCUCUCUCGGCCCGUGGGCCCCAUCCUAUCCGACGGUCGGUCUGUUAAUUUCUGAAGGCUCGAAAUCAUUGUUUACUGACCCUGCAAAUCACCACCCGACCUUUUCCCAUGCUUUGGCCUUACUCGCAUGCUAUCGCGAAUCACUUCCCGAUAGGUCAUCCAUCCUUCCACUACUCCAGCUCAAGCACGCUUAACUCUGGAGUUCUUUCAGGAUGUGCUUCAGAAAAGGUAAGUGAACUUUGGUGACAUAGGUAGUCAAAUCAAUUUUCUUAAGCCUUUUCACAUAUCACAACUCGGGAUGUUACAGCGUGAUUUUAGUUAAAUCAAUAAUCUUGUUUUGAUUGGUUGUUAUUUAUAUUUUGAAAUUAUAUACAAUAAAAAUUCGACAUGGUAGUUAUGCUUUGGUAUAUUCUUUACUGUUGUCAACCUCCGAAAUUUACAUCCUUUGCUUGCAGAUCGGUACAAACGAUUUAGUAUAUUGGAUAAUGUAGUAGGUUCUUCCGGAAAUCAAGUUUUUUUGCCAAGUUUUGAGAGUUUUGAUUUAGCGUAUUAAUUUUUUGGUAUUUGAUUUGAGAAAGUUUGGGAAAUAAAUAAUUUGAUACCAUGUAUUUAAAUUCUGCAACAUAUAAUUUUUUCUGGUGCAACCGUUUGUAAGCAAGAAAUUCUGUUUGGAUGUGAUGAAUGUUAAAAAAAGUAUGAUAUUAACAGAUAUGUAUUGUUUUAA